rnacentral:rRNA from 1 species
AAUUACUGGGCGUAAAGCGCGCGUAGGUGGUUUGUUAAGUUGGAUGUGAAAGCCCUGGGCUCAACCUAGGAACUGCAUCCAAAACUAACUCACUAGAGUACGAUAGAGGGAGGUAGAAUUCAUAGUGUAGCGGUGGAAUGCGUAGAUAUUAUGAAGAAUACCAGUGGCGAAGGCGGCCUCCUGGAUCUGUACUGACACUGAGGUGCGAAAGCGUGGGUAGCGAACAGGAUUAGAUACCCUGGUAGUCCACGCCGUAAACGAUGACAACUAGCUGUUGGGAGACUAUGUCUUUCAGUGGCGCAGCUAACGCUUUAAGUUGUCCGCCUGGGGAGUACGGCCGCAAGGCUAAAACUCAAAUGAAUUGACGGGGACCCGCACAAGCGGUGGAGCAUGUGGUUUAAUUCGAUGCAACGCGAAAAACCUUACCUACUCUUGACAUACUUGGAGGCUCUUGUAAUGAGAGCGUGCCUUUUGGAACCAAGAUACAGGUGCUGCAUGGCUGUCGUCAGCUCGUGUCGUGAGAUGUUCCGUUAAGUCGGAUAACGAGCGCAACCCUUACCCUUAUUUGCCAGCGAUUCGGUCGGGAACUAUAAGGGGACUGCCGGUGAUAAACCGGAGGAAGGUGAGGACGACGUCAAGUCAUCAUGGCCCUUACGAGUAGGGCUACACACGUGCUACAAUGGGGAAUACAGACGGACGCUAAGCCGCGAGGUGGUGCUAAUCCUAGAAAGUUUCUCGUAGUCCGGAUUGGAGUCUGCAACUCGACUCCAUGAAGUCGGAAUCGCUAGU